ensembl:miRNA
AGUCAGCCUGUUGAAGCUUUGAAGCUUUGAUGCUAGGCAUUGACUUCUCACUAGCUAUGAAAGUCCUAGUUAUAGAGAAGUCAAUGCAUGACAUCUUGUUUCAAUAGAUGGCUGUUUCA